UACGUAGGGACCAAGCGUUGUUCGGAUUUACUGGGCGUAAAGGGCGCGUAGGCGGCGUGGUAAGUCAGCUGUGAAAUCUCCGAGCUUAACUCGGAACGGUCAGCUGAUACUGCUGUGCUAGAGUACAGAAGGGGCAAUCGGAAUUCUUGGUGUAGCGGUGAAAUGCGUAGAUAUCAAGAGGAACACCUGAGGUGAAGACGGGUUGCUGGGCUGACACUGACGCUGAGGCGCGAAAGCUAGGGUAGCAAACGGG
rnacentral:rRNA from 1 species